rnacentral:rRNA from 1 species
GAUCAGUGGCUCAGGACACGCUGGCGGCGUGCCUAACACAUGCAAGUCGAACGGGGGUGAGAUCCUUCGGGGGUUUCACUUAGUGGCGAACGGGUGAGUAACGCGUGAGAAACCUGCCUUUCAGUGGGGGACAACAGUUGGAAACGACUGCUAAUACCGCAUAACGUAUUUUAGGGGCAUCCCUGAAAUACCAAAGCUUUAUGUGCUGAAAGAUGGUCUCGCGUCUGAUUAGCUAGAUGGCGGGGUAACGGCCCACCAUGGCGACGAUCAGUAGCCGGUCUGAGAGGAUGAACGGCCACAUUGGGACUGAGAUACGGCCCAGACUCCUACGGGAGGCAGCAGUGGGGAAUAUUGGGCAAUGGGGGAAACCCUGACCCAGCAACGCCGCGUGAAGGAAGAAGGCCUUCGGGUUGUAAACUUCUUUUAGUAGGGACGAAUACGUGACGGUACCUACAGAAAAAGCAACGGCUAACUACGUG